rnacentral:lncRNA from 1 species
UAGUACCUUGUUGUGCUCAUUCUAUUGGGGGACGGAUGACUAAGAAAGAUAUGCCAUUUUUUGGUAAUAAAAUUUAUUGCUUCUACCCAUGAGCUUCUUUUCGCAAUAUUUCUUUGUCUAUACUUAGAAUUAUUUAUAAGCUACAAUAUAUACAUAAUAUACAAUAUAUAUACUACAAAAAAAUAUAUAAGAGAAUAUAUAUACAUAAGAUACAAUAUAAUAUACUACAAGAAAAUAUAUUAUGCGAAAAUAUAUACAUAAUAUACAAUAUAUAUACUACAAGACAAUAUAUUAUGCGAAUAUAUAUACAUAAUAUACAAUAUAUAUACUACAAGAAAAUAUAUUAUGCGAAUAUAUAUACAUAAUAUACAAUAUAUAUACUACAAAAAAAUAUAUAAUAGAAUAUAUAUACAUAAUAUACAAUAUAAUAUACUACAAGAAAAUAUAUUAUGCGAAUAUAUAUACAUAAUAUACAAUAUAUAUACUACAAGAAAAUAUAUUAUGCGAACAUAUAUACAUAAGAUACAAUAUAUAUACAUAAGAUACAAUUUAUUAUGCGAAUAUAUAUACUAUAAGAAAAUAUAUAAGAGAAUAUAUAUACAUAAGAUACAAUAUAAUAUACUACAAGAAAAUAUAUUAUGCAUGACAAUUUAGUGUUUUACUAUUGUUUUGUUAUUUUCUUUUUCGUCAAGCACUUUAAUAAUUAGAUAUACAUAUAUACUACAUAUAUAUUUUUAAUAUAGCCAUGAUACUACAAGAAAUUGUCUUUAAAAAAAAAAAAAACCCGCUAGGCUCGCGAAGCCCACGAGCCCGGCUCGUUAAGCACAGGACCAUGUGGGCUUAGGCCCGUCACGGGCCGGUUCCACCCAUUGAGCCCAC